AUUCAAUAAGCGGAGGAAAAGAAACUAACAAGGAUUCCCCCAGUAACGGCGAGUGAAGUGGGAAAAGCUCAACUUUGAAAUCUGGCUGUUUUACAGUCCGAGUUGUAGUCUCGAGAAGUGUUUUCCGCGUUAAACCGUGUAUGAGUCUGUUGGAACACAGCGUCAUAGAGGGUGAGAACCCCGUUCAUGACACGGCUUUUAAUGCUUUGUGAUACACUUUCGAUGAGUCGAGUUGUUUGGGAAUGCAGCUCAAAUUGGGUGGUAAAUUCCAUCUAAAGCUAAAUAUUGGCGAGAGACCGAUAGCAAACAAGUACCGUGAGGGAAAGAUGAAAAGCACUUUGGAAAGAGAGUUAAAAGUACGUGAAAUUGUCGAAAGGGAAACGCUUGAAGUCAGACGUGCACGGGAUUUAUUCCUAUUGCAGGCCAACAUCGGUUUUACGAGCCGGAUAAAGGUACAAGGAAGGUAGCAGUUUCGGCUGUGUUAUAGCCUCGUACUGAAUACGGAUUGUGAGACCGAGGGACGCAGCGCGCCGCAAGGCAAAGGGUCCGCCCUUUUCGCGCUUAGGAUGUUGGUGAAAUGGCUUUAAUCGACCCGUCUUGAAACACGGACCAAGGAGUCUAACAUGCUUGC
rnacentral:rRNA from 1 species